rnacentral:rRNA from 1 species
CUUUACUGUAGCCUGGAAUGGGGUUCGGGCUUUGCUUGCGCAGUCUAGGUGGGAGGCAUUGAAGAUUUCUUUCCGGAGAGAUUGGAGCCAUCAGUGAGAGACCACUCUGGAAAGGCUAGAAUCCUAAGAGUGAUCCCUAAUCGGGACAUUUGACGUUUUCAGGAAGGCAGUUUUUUUGGGGCGAAAGUCCUCCUAAAAGGUACGGAGGCGCGCAAAGGUUUCCUCAGUCUGGACGGAAAUCAGACGUUACAGAGUGUAAAGGCAAAAGGAAGCUUGACUGCAAGACCUACAAGUCGAGCAGGGGCGAAAGCCGGCCUUAGUGAUCCGACGGUGUCCGUGUGGAAGGGCCGUCGCUCAACGGAUAAAAGUUA